rnacentral:rRNA from 1 species
GACGAACGCUGGCGGCGUGCCUAAUACAUGCAAGUUGAGCGCUGAAGGUUGGUACUUGUACCAACUGGAUGAGCAGCGAACGGGUGAGUAACGCGUGGGGAAUCUGCCUUUGAGCGGGGGACAACAUUUGGAAACGAAUGCUAAUACCGCAUAAAAACUUUAAACACAAGUUUUAAGUUUGAAAGAUGCAAUUGCAUCACUCAAAGAUGAUCCCGCGUUGUAUUAGCUAGUUGGUGAGGUAAAGGCUCACCAAGGCGGUGAUACAUAGCCGACCUGAGAGGGUGAUCGGCCACAUUGGGACUGAGACACGGCCCAAACUCCUACGGGAGGCAGCAGUAGGGAAUCUUCGGCAAUGGACGGAAGUCUGACCGAGCAACGCCGCGUGAGUGAAGAAGGUUUUCGGAUCGUAAAACUCUGUUGGUAGAGAAGAACGUUGGUGAGAGUGGAAAGCUCAUCAAGUGACGGUAACUACCCAGAAAGGGACGGCUAACUACGUG